rnacentral:rRNA from 1 species
UACGGAGGAUGCAAGCGUUAUCCGGAAUGAUUGGGCGUAAAGCGUCCGCAGUUGGCUGUGUAAGUCUGCUGUUAAAGAGUGAGGCUCAACCUCAUAAAAGCAGUGGAAACUACACGGCUAGAGUGCGUUCGGGGCAGAGGGAAUUCCUGGUGUAGCGGUGAAAUGCGUAGAUAUCAGGAAGAACACCGGUGGCGAAAGCGCUCUGCUAGGCCGCAACUGACACUGAGGGACGAAAGCUAGGGGAGCGAAUGGG